rnacentral:piRNA from 1 species
UACAACUAGAACCGCCGACUUCAUGCCC